GAACCAAACCUGGGGAGAGAGGGCGGCGGUGAGGGCGGGCGGGCUGGCAGGGACGGGCCCGGGUGGCGCGGCGCGGCCGGCGCCCCUCACCUGGAUGCGGGACUCGGGGAUGUGCGUGGCGUCGGCCAGCUUCUCCCGCAGAUAAGGCAGCAGGAGCGCUGGCGUGUACAGAGCAGUGCAGGAGAAGCAGGGACCUGCUGACACUGAAAAUCCUGGCAGACUGAAGACUGAUCCUCCCUGCACACAGAGCUUGGGUUUGCAUCUCUUCAGACAAAUGGUCAUCUUCCCACUGGCUGCAUGGAGCAGGCUCCUACUUCAGGGACCAGGAUAAUUUCUACCUGUGAGACAUGAAGACCCACACAGCAAACCCCUCUUUCCACAGCAACAUGUUGCUACUAACAGGGUAUAGCCGAGCCUGGGCUGUCCAAACGUACACGUCAAAUACCACUGUAACUUGCCUUGUUGCUGAAGGGAAUGUGCAUGGCACGCUGGCAGAGACACACAGGGUUGUUCCUAGAAGAUCCUUGUUCCAGAGCAGAAUCGGUGCCAGCUUCCUGCUCUCCAGGCCAUUAACUAAUCUUAACAGCACUGCAGCUUCACCAGAUUCCUUUGGCUGACCAAUGUGGAAAGGCUGGUUUCAGGUGAGAGUUUUACUUAGGACCAUGUAAAAGGCCUGUGCACAAAGAGCUGCAGCAGACCGGGUCACUGCAGGGCUGCCUGAUCGCUUUUCCCUGUCCACACUUCCCAGGAUCACUCCUCAACCUCCUGCUGCUGUUUUCAGCAGAUGCAGACACCAUGAACCACAUCACAUGGUAGGAAUGAUCUACUUUUUCUUCACAACAAAAGGAGAGUCGCUCCUGCCUCUGUCUGUGGGUCUGGGUUGCUGCUUUUCUCCAUGUAAGCCCAGAGAAAUCAUGAAUCAUCAAAGGAAGUGCUCUCUGGAGCACUUGCAGAAUAGCCAGAGUUCAGAUAAUUGCCAUUGUUUUUCUGGGUGAUGUUUGGACCAUUUAAGGAAUUGACCACUGAGCCUGGUAUGAGUAGGAAGGGGAAAGCUGAGUACACCUUAGCUAGCAGUGCCUCAGAUAGGCGCAGCAGAAGUGUACCUGCUUUGGCUGGCACUUCUUUAGUGAGGAUGUGCCUCCAUUAGACCUAUUUAUUGAUGAUGACCUAUUAUUUAUUAACAAAAUACUCCUAGUGUGGCUGCUGCUCUACAGCAAAGUGUUAUUUUGCACCUCCUUCCUGAAGGAAACAAGCAGUGCUUGUUAAAAUAGAGAUUUUUCUGUUAAAACUGUGUUUUAUUACAGCUCAGAAGGGCAGAGGGCAGCACUGGUAGCAUCGUGAGGAUGCUGUAGGGCACCGUUCUCACUUGCCCUGCAUGAAGCAAAUGGGCUACAUGUGCCUUGAUGAGGAGAUGGUAUGACACUGUCUGCUGGUCCCUUUGUAGAGUGCCACUUGGGAGCACAGCAUAAAGAGGGCAGCAACAACCUCGGGGUGAGGCUGGGGAGGACUCGUAUGGUUGCUGGUGUCACGUGUUGGAGAAGUUCAUGUGGCAUUCUGGAAGGGGGAAGGCAGUGCUGAUCAUUCCUGGCUGCUGCACUUGGGUACGUGCUGAUGCACUUGGCUGUGAGGAUGGGGCAUUCUCCAGCAUAGAGGAGGCUUGUGUGCAUGUGGUUUUAAGGUCAGAUUGUGCCAUCACUCCCUUGAGCCGGUAAACAGGUUGUGAGAGGGGCUGUGCCAGUAACUCCUGCCCGUGACGUUUUUGGCAUGCCAUCUAACUAGUGCCUGCGGAAGGCUCUCGGACUGCGGUGAUGCUCCGUCUCCUCCCAUGUUGCAGAAGGUAGGCUAGAUAUCCCUAGCUUGGCCUUUUAAAUGGACUUCUUGCCAGGAUGGUGGGUCCUUACAGGAUGAAACAGAGCAGACCAGGGAAAGAGAAACACAUGGACGUUUCCCCAUGAGGUCUUUUAGGAUCUUAGGGGAAGCCAUAGCUGAAAA